ACGAAUGGAAAAAAUACCAAAGGCCACUGAAAAAGUUUAUUGAAGUUUAUUAAAGUUUAUCCUUUCUGCCUUUACUUGUUUACUAGUAUAGUUUUACUAAACUUGCCAUUGUUUACUGUUGACACCAGAUUGCUGUGAUGUUCCUCAGUGACGCUGGAUAAAUGUAAAUGUGCUGGGUAAUGUGUGUCUUUGUCUGUAGGCAGAGGGAAGAGUUCACUGAUGGUUUGCUGGUGUUCCUGAGUAACAGUGGGUCAGUGGUUAAGGAGUCAGACUGUGGGUGAGAAGGUUGCAGGUUCGAUUCCAGGUCAGAGCGGGUUGUGUUUGUUCAGACUGUGGCUGGUCCCAGUGUGGCUGUGAGCUGAUCAGUGCUAUAGUCCUGGACGCCACACAGAGUGAUGCUGGUUCCUGCCGACAGGGCCUGUCGAGGCCUCGGGUUCCCUGUGCGAUGGUGCCACACACAUGUUCGGAUGAACUGCUGCUUACCUUUAUUUCCUUCUACAUGCAGCUGACUUCCAGUUCAUCGCUGUCUCUGGAGCUUCAGCUUGCCAAGCUCUCCAGUGCAGGACGUAAUGAGCACGCCACGGUUGUUCAAGAGACUCUGGAAAGAACUGGCACAUGAGGGAGUCGUGAGAGACGAGCUGGAGAAAGAACUGGCCGAUCAGAUCAGCAUCAUCUCAGAGAAAGAGGGUCUGAUUUCACAGUUGCAGGACAAGGUGAAGCGAAUGGUUAGGGAACAAGGAGCGCUGACGAAGCAUCAUAAAGCGGGAAUAAAGGACACAUUUGGGUUUACAGUAAUUAUUUGA
ensembl:lncRNA